rnacentral:rRNA from 1 species
CUACCUACGGGAGCAGCAGUGGGGAAUAUUGGACAAUGGGGGAAACCCUUAUCCAGCGACGCCGCGUGAGGGAAGAAGGUUUUCGGAUUGUAAACCUCUGUCAGUGGGGACGAUAAUGACGGUACCCACGGAGGAAGCCACGGCUAACUACGUGCCAGCAGCCGCGGUAAUACGUAGGUGGCAAGCGUUGUCCGGAAUUACUGGGUGUAAAGGGAGCGUAGACGGCUGUGCAAGUCUGAAGUGAAAUGCCGGGGCCCAACCCCGGAACUGCUUUGGAAACUGUACAGCUAGAGUGCAGGAGGGGG